AGACCCCGUGAACCUUUACUAUAGCUUGACACUGAACAUUGAGCCUUGAUGUGUAGGAUAGGUGGGAGGCUUUGAAGUGUGGACGCCAGUCUGCAUGGAGCCGACCUUGAAAUACCACCCUUUAAUGUUUGAUGUUCUAACGUGGACCCGUAAUCCGGGUUGCGGACAGUGUCUGGUGGGUAGUUUGACUGGGGCGGUCUCCUCCUAAAGAGUAACGGAGGAGCACGAAGGUUGGCUAAUCCUGGUCGGACAUCAGGAGGUUAGUGCAAUGGCAUAAGCCAGCUUGACUGCGAGCGUGACGGCGCGAGCAGGUGCGAAAGCAGGUCAUAGUGAUCCGGUGGUUCUGAAUGGAAGGGCCAUCGCUCAACGGAUAAAAGGUACUCCGGGGAUAACAGGCUGAUACCGCCCAAGAGUUCAUAUCGACGGCGGUGUUUGGCACCUCGAUGUCGGCUCAUCACAUCCUGGGGCUGAAGUAGGUCCCAAGGGUAUGGCUGUUCGCCAUUUAAAGUGGUACGCGAGCUGGGUUUAGAACGUCGUGAGACAGUUCGGUCCCUA
rnacentral:rRNA from 1 species